CUACGGGGUGCUGCAGUGGGGAAUAUUGGACAAUGGGGGAAACCCUGAUCCAGCAAUGCCGCGUGUGUGAAGAAGGCCUGCGGGUUGUAAAGCACUUUCGGUUGGGAGGACUGCUUCUAGCACUAAUAUUGUUGGAAGUUGACGUUACCUUCAGAAGAAGCACCGGCUAACUCCGUGCCAGCAGCCGCGGUAAUACGGAGGGUGCAAGCGUUAAUCGGAAUUACUGGGCGUAAAGCGCGCGUAGGCGGCUAGAUCAGUCGGGUGUGAAAGCCCCGGGCUUAACCUGGGAACUGCAUCCGAUACUGUCUAGCUUGAGUACAGGAGAGGAGAGUGGAAUUCCACAUGUAGCGGUGAAAUGCGUAGAUAUAUGGAGGAACACCAGUGGCGAAGGCGGCUUGCUGGGCUGGUAUUGACGCUGAUGCACGAAAGCGUGGGGAGCAAACAGGAUUAGAUACCCGCGUAGUC
rnacentral:rRNA from 1 species